rnacentral:lncRNA from 1 species
CUGUAGUCGCAGCUACUUGGGCAGCUGAGGCAGGAGAAUUGCUUGAACCCAGGAGGCAGAGGUUGCAGUGAGCCAAGAUCAUGCCACUGACUCCAGCCUGGGUGACAGAGCUAAAAAAAAAAAAAAAGAUAAAACAUAGAUACAGAAAACCACAAAGGAAAAGCAUAGCAUAUUGAAUCAUCACAAGGCAGCCACCCCUUCAUAGCCACACCUGGCCCCUGGCCACCACUGACCUGUGCUCCAUCGCCAGAAUUCCAUUGUCUCAAGAAUGUUCGAUGAAUGGAAUCCUGUGUGGCCUGAGAUGAGUGUCUUUCAUGCCGCGUGACACCCUUGAGGCCCGUGCAAGCUGUUGCCCUCGGAAGGCUUGGUCACACUCUCCGAGAGCACAGCCAUCAUCUCCCACGGUACCACAGGCCUGGUCACAUGGGAUGCCACCUGCUACCUUGCAGAAUGGGCCAUCGAGAACCCGGCAGCCUUCACUAACAGGUGACCUCGGGGCACAGGGCAGGGCACCGAGGCAGGCUUACCCUGGUGCAGUCGAAGACACGGUCCCCUUUCCUCCCAUCAGGAAUGUCCUAGAGCUUGGCAGUGGCACCGGCCUCACAGGCCUGUCCAUCUGCAAGAUGUGCCACCCCUGGGCAUACAUCUUCAGCGACAGUCACAGCCGGGUCCUAGAGCAGCUCCGAGGGAAUGUCCUUCUCAAUGGCCUCUCAUUAGAGGCAGACAUCACUGCCAACUUAGCCCCAGGGUGACAGUGACCCAGCUGGACUGGGACGUAGCGACAGUCCAUCAGCUCUCUGCCUUCCAGCCAGAUGUUGUCAUUGCAGCAGGUACUGCCCAGCCCCGGGCAUCCUGUGCAGGCGGUGUCCUUGCAGCUCUACCCCGCUUUUGGCUCUGGGAAAAGGGAACAAUGGACGCUGUCGGGCAUGGACAUGAUGGGGCUUCCAGAAGAGUUACUCCGGGCCUCCAGGAUGACAUCAAAGGACAGGGGUGCCUCUUAAGGUGACCUUCAAGCCACAGCCCUCUUGUUGGAGACAGGCAUACUCCCGUUACAGUCGUCACCACUUGACUCUGUCCCAGAGCCAUGCCCUGUGUCCUUCAGAGACCACAGGAGGAAAACAACCACUUCUGGGACGAGGACAGGGCCCUUGAGAGAAGGUGGUGUUUGGCUGGGCCACCGAAAACCCCUCACCCCUGCCAGCACACUCAGUCCCCUCUCUGGUGGAACAGAGCUCUACCUGU